rnacentral:rRNA from 1 species
UACGGAGGGUGCAAGCAUUAAUCGGAUUUAUUGGGCGUAAAGGGCGCGUAGGCGGCAAUAUAAGUCAGAUGUGAAAUCCCGGGGCUCAACCUCGGAACAGCAUUUGAAACUGUAUAGCUAGAGGGUAGUCGGAGAAAACGGAAUUCCACAAGUAGCGGUGAAAUGCGUAGAUAUGUGGAAGAACACCGGUGGCGAAGGCGGUUUUCUAGAUUAUUCCUGACGCUAAAGCGCGAAAGCAAGGGGAUCAAACAGG